AUUCAAGCUAUGAUGAAAAAGAGUAAUAUUAUGAAGUGGCAUAGAGAGCUAGCGGUUGGUGGAAGCUAGAACAUGACAUAAUAUGAAUGGGCUUUCUAGCUACUAGUAUUGAAAUGACAGUAGGUACUAGCGUGACGUUACGUUAAAAACAGUUAAGUGGACUAAAAUGGUUAAAUGAACCGUCUUUUAGUCAAUGAAGGUGGCACCACGGCUUUUCCGUCCUUUUU
rnacentral:ncRNA from 1 species